UACGUAGGGUGCGAGCGUUAAUCGGAAUUACUGGGCGUAAAGCGUGCGCAGGCGGUUUUGUAAGCCAGAUGUGAAAUCCCCCGGGCUUAACCUGGGAAUGGCAUUUGGGACUGCAAGGCUGGAGUACGGCAGAGGAGACUGGAAUUCCUGGUGUAGCAGUGAAAUGCGUAGAGAUCAGGAGGAAUACCGAUGGCGAAGGCAGGUCUCUGGGCUGAUACUGACGCUCAUGCACGAAAGCGUGGGGAGCAA
rnacentral:rRNA from 1 species